rnacentral:lncRNA from 1 species
GCGGAGAAAUAUACAUCACAAUGAACAUGAUGAAAUUUACAUCAACUGUUGAAACCAAUCGAUUGUGAACGAAUGCGUUAAAGUAUGGAAUAAAAUAUCAACAAUAAGCAUAACACAUAAUGAUUUAUAGGUUUUAAAGUAAAAAUAUUAACAAGUAAAAUAUGUUUUUCCAAAAAUUGUAAAAGAAAUAAGUUUGAGUCGUUCCACGCUUCGUUGUAUAGUAAAUUAGAACUUUAAGCAUUGUCUUUAAUUAUAAAUUGAUGAAGAUUCAAUUUAUUGUCGUAUAAACUACCGAUUUUGAUUGGUCAAGCCAAGAGGGUGACAUUCAAAAAAAU